AUGUUAAUCCUGGAGUUGCCAUUGAUACUGGAGUUGCUGUUAAUGCUGCAGUUGCUGUUGAUCCUUGAGUUGCUGUUGAAUCUGGAGUUGGUGUUAACACUUGAAUUGAUGAUGAAUCUGGAGUUGGUGUUGCUCCUGAGGUUGCCGUUGAGUCUGAAGUUGCUGUUGAAUCUGGAGUUGAUGUUGAUCCUUGAGUUGGUGUUGUUCCUGAAGUUGCUGUUGAGUCUGAAGUUGCUGUUGAGUCUGAAGUUGCUGUUGAGUCUGAAGUUGCUGUUGAGUCUGAAGUUGCUGUUGAGUCUGAAGUCGCUGUUGAGUCUGAAGUUGCUGCUGAGUCUGAAGUUGCUGUUGAGUCUGAAGUUGCUGUUGAGUCUGAAGUUGGGGUUGAGUCUGAAGUUGCUGUUGAGUCUGAAUUUGGGGUUGAGUCUGAAGUUGCUGUUGAGUCUGAAGUUGGGGUUGAGUCUGAAGUUGCUGUUGAGUCUGAAGUUCCUGUUGGGUCUGAAGUUGGGGUUGAGUCUGAAGUUGCUGUUGAGUCUGAAGUUGGGGUUGAUUCUGAAGUUGCUGUUGAGUCUGAAGUUGGGGUUGAGUCUGAAGUUGCUGUUGAGUCUGAAGUUGGGGUUGAGUCUGAAGUUGCUGUUGAGUCUGAAGUUGGGGUUGAUUCUGAAGUUGCUGUUGAGUCUGAAGUUGGGGUUGAGUCUGAAGUUGCUGUUGAGUCUGAAGUUGCUGUUGAGUCUGAAGUUGGGGUUGAGUCUGAAGUUGCUGUUGAGUCUGAAGUUGCUGUUGAGUCUGAAGUUGGGGUUGAGUCUGAAGUUGCUGUUGAGUCUGAAGUUGCUGUUGAGUCUGUAGUUGACUGAGAUGACACACCUCCAGCGGUUGCUGUAAAGCACAUUGACAAUAUUAAAUGAAGCUAAAUGCCGUUGGCAUUCUGUUUUGCUCCUCUUCAUUCAUUUAAUCACUCACUUACCAAUUAGUAUCACAAUCAUGGUUAUUAGAUGUCUGUUCCCCAUUCUGGUCGCUCUUGAGUCUGAAAUGUUGGUAAAAGUAUAGUUUGUGAAACUAUUUCAUCUUCAAUUUAAGACUCAUUCGUCAAAAAACCUUUUGAACAUUUGUAGAUCUGUCAAUAAUUAAGGACAUUUUAUUGUAACCAAUAAAAUACACUCAAAAAACUGACUCAAGCCCCUCUUAGAGUUGACACAUUAAAGGUGCUGUAGGCAGGAUUCCGCAUCUCCACCAUGGCGAUUUGACCCAUCUAAAAUGGCGAUUUGAAACCCAGCACAGCCAAUCCUGUCCUGUUUUCUCUGACAUCAUGCCCUUACGC
rnacentral:lncRNA from 1 species